GGGGACCAACAAUAGGCGAUGGCUGCUUUCCCAUUUUUAUACUGACGCUGAGGUACGAAAGCAUGGGGAGCGAACAGGAUUAGAGACCCUGGUAGUCCAUGCCCUGACCUAUGAAUAUUAAUCGUCCAUUUAGAUAGUGGAUGACUAAGCUAACGCGAAAAUAUUCCACCUGAGGACUACGGCCGCAAGGUUAAAACUCAAAGAAAUUGGCGGAAGAUCGUUUAAGCGGUGGAGUAUGUGGUUUAAUUCGAUAAUACGCGAAAAACCUUACCAAUCUUUGUGCACAUUUUCGGUUCUACAAAACUUGUAGCCCAAAUUGAGGUGGUCAAUUUGGGCUAGCUAUGUGCCAGGCGUUGCAUGGCUGUCGUAAGCUCGUGUCUUAGGAUGUGUGGUUAACUCCAUGAACGGGCGCAACCCUUGUUCCUAGUUAGAUUAGGAAUGAAAACAGUGAAAACUGCUUUUGAGGAUGAGGAGUAUGUCAAGUCAAUAUGACCUUUAUAGAUUGGGCUACACACGUACUACAACGGUAGCUACAAUGAGAAACAAUGCCGUGAGGCGGAGUAAAUCUCUAAAACCUACCCUAGUUCGGAUUAUUUUUUGAAAUAAAAAUAUGAAGCCGGAAUCGCUAGUAAUCGCAAAAAAGAAUGUUGCGGUGAAUAUUAAGACCGAUCUUAGUACACACCGCCCGUCACGCC
rnacentral:rRNA from 1 species